GACGAACGCUGGCGGCGUGCUUAACACAUGCAAGUCGAACGGAAAGGCCCUGCUUGCAGGGUGCUCGAGUGGCGAACGGGGGAGUAACACGUGGGUGAUCUGCUCUCUACUUCGGGAUAAGCCUUGGGAACAGUGUCGAAUAUCCGAGAGGAGCGAUCCUGAGGGUGGGGGGUGGAAAGUAUUUUCGGGGUGGGAUGAGUGCGCGGCCUAUCCGCUUGUUGGUGGGGUCAUGGCCUACCAAGGCGGCGACGGGUAGCCGGCCGGAGAGGGUGGACGGCCCCCUUGGGACUGAGGUACGGCCCAGGCUCCUAAGGGAGGGAGCAGUGGGGAAUUUUGCCCAAUGGGGGCGAGCCUGAUGCAGGGACGCCGCGUGGGGGAUGACGGCCUUCCGGUUGUAAACUCCUUUCGCUAGGGACCAAGCCUUGUGUGACGGUACCUAGAUAAGAAGCACCGGCUAACUACGUG
rnacentral:rRNA from 1 species